GGCUGGCUCUCUAGAGCCGAAUCCCCUCCCUCUGUGCCCAGUCCCUUGCGGGCGGCAUCUUUUGUCUCUUGUCUCCUCUACGCGCUGCCCGUGUUUCCCUCCUGGGAAGAAUCCGGUGAGUCUCCUCUCUCUUCCCCCUUGGGGUGCCCAUGGGAGAAGGGGGUCCCGGGGCUGCAGGGGGAGACCCCCAAGUCUGGGAGCAGAGAGUCCUGCCCCCCCCAUUCCCGUCUGCCAAGCCUGGGAGGGGGCGAGUUUCCAGGUGGUCUGCAGCUCUGCUCUUCCUUAGCAUCCUCUUUGGGGAAGGAGGGAGGGGUCUGGGGGGGAGAGGGCAUGCCCAGAAUGCCCCUUCCAGUGGAGGAGCCCCUGCCAGGCCGGCCUUUGCUCCUGGCAGAGCCUUUCCCCCUGCCAGAUCCUCCUCCAGAUCAGCUCAGGUCUCCAGCCCAGAGCCUCAAGGGAAGCCUCUCUGGGCAGGGGCAACGCCUGGGGCUCCUCCGUGGAGAAAAGGGGAGAGCCAGAGGGCUGAGCUGGCUGCACUGGGCUUGCCAAUGCAGGGAGGAGAAGGACGGGGCUCUGGGUGGCAGGUCUGCCAACUUUUCUCUCUCUGAUCCCAGAGUGAGCUUUCAAGGAUGUUCCCCAUCCUGGAGUUUCUCUGCAGCUGCUGCUAUUGCAGAAUGUUUUAGUUACAUUAAACUUGUAAUUUUCACAGUGCGUAGGUAAAACUGGAACUCCAACCCGCAGGAGCCAGGGAUUGGACAGACUUUUCUAAAGGGAACUAAGAAAAUCUAUACGGAAUAUAUGGCAAGCAUGAUUGUGAAUAAUGCUCUCUUAGAAAAAUGUAAGAUACAGUAGGGGACAUUUAUUUAUGUAUUAUCAAGAAGAAUAAAGCAAGGAUAAAAGACACCUACUCAUAGAAUCACAGAGUUGGAAGAGACCACAAGGGCCAUGGAGUCCAACCCCUGCCAAGCAGGAAACACCAUCAGAGCAUUCCUGACAUAUGGUUGUCAAGCCUCUGCUUAAAGACCUCCAAAGAAGGAGACUCCACCACACUCCUUGGCAGCAAAUUCCACUGUCAAACAGCUCUUACUGUCAGGAAGUUCUUCCUAAUGUUUAGGUGGAAUCUUCUCUCUUGUAGUUUGGAUCCAUUGCUCCGUGUCCGCUUCUCUGGAGCAGCAGAAAACAACCUUUCUCCCUCCUCUAUGUGACAUCCUUUUAUAUAUUUGAACAUGGCUAUCAUAUCACCCCUUAACCUCCUCUUCUCCAGGCUAAACAUGCCCAGCUCCCUUAGCCGUUCCUCAUAAGGCAUCCUGCACAUGCCCUGGACCACCCGGAUUCUGGGAGGGAAGGAGGACAGCCAGCCAGCCAGGGGGCUGUGCUCGGCUUGCGAAGGGUUAAAUGGAACAGAGCCGGAGUCCUAGAGAGGACAGGAAGUAGAGAGGCGGGGCGGGCUCUCCAGAGCAGAAUCCCUUCCCUCCGUGCCCAGUCCCGUCUUUUGUCUCUUGUCUCCUCCCCGCGCUGCCUCGGUUUCCCUCCUGGGAAGAAUCCGG